rnacentral:tRNA from 1 species
ACUGUGGUUUAAUGGUAGAACGGCGGUUUUGUAGUCCGUCUAUAUGGGUUCGAUUCCUAUCGGU